rnacentral:rRNA from 1 species
UACGUAGGCAGCGAGCGUUGUUCGGAAUUACUGGGCGUAAAGAGUGUGUAGGCGGUGCUCUAAGUUCGGUGUGAAAUCUCCUGCUUAACUGGGAGGGUGCGCCGGAAACUGGAGUGCUCGAGCGUGGGAGAGGAAAGCGGAAUUCCUGGUGUAGCGGUGAAAUGCGUAGAUAUCAGGAGGAACACCUGUGGUGUAGACGGCUUUCUGGACCAUAACUGACGCUGAGACACGAAAGCGUGGGUAGCAAACAGG